CCUACGGGGGGCAGCAGUGGGGGAUAUUGCACAAUGGGGGAAACCCUGAUGCAGCGACGCCGCGUGUGGGAAGACGGUCCUCUGGAUUGUAAACCACUGUCCCCAGGGACGAAGAUGACGGUACCUGGGGAGGAUGCUCCGGCAAACUACGUGCCAGCAGCCGCGGUAAUACGUAGGGAGCGAGCGUUGUCCGGAAUUACUGGGUGUAAAGGGAGCGUAGGCGGGGAUGCAAGUUGGGUGUAAAAACUACCGGCUCAACUGGUAGUCGCUCUCAAAACUGCAGCGCUUGAGUGAAGUAGAGGCAGGCGGAAUUCCUGGUGUAGCGGUGAAAUGCGUAGAUAUUAGGAGGAACACCAAUGGCGAAGGCGGCCUGCUAGGCUUUUACUGACGCUGAGGCUCGAAAGUGUGGGGAGCAAACAGGAUUAGAUACCCGGGUAGUC
rnacentral:rRNA from 1 species